GACGAACGCUGGCGGCGUGCCUAAUACAUGCCAGUCGAACGCUUCUUUCCUCCCGAGUGCUUGCACUCAAUUGGAAAGAGGAGUGGCGGACGGGUGAGUAACACGUGGGUAACCUACCCAUCAGAGGGGGAUAACACUUGGAAACAGGUGCUAAUACCGCAUAACAGUUUAUGCCGCAUGGCAUAAGAGUGAAAGGCGCUUUCGGGUGUCGCUGAUGGAUGGACCCGCGGUGCAUUAGCUAGUUGGUGGGGUAACGGCCCACCAAGGCCACGAUGCAUAGCCGACCUGAGAGGGUGAUCGGCCACACUGGGACUGAGACACGGCCCAGACUCCUACGGGAGGCAGCAGUAGGGAAUCUUCGGCAAUGGACGAAAGUCUGACCGAGCAACGCCGCGUGAGUGAAGAAGGUUUUCGGAUCGUAAAACUCUGUUGUUAGAGAAGAACAAGGACGUUAGUAACUGAACGUCCCCUGACGGUAUCUAACCAGAAAGCCACGGCUAACUACGUG
rnacentral:rRNA from 1 species